CGGUAGCCGUGUUCCGGCUCCGCUUCCUCUGCCGCGGGGCGCGCUCCGCACUCCGGCGGAGCGAGCUGACGGCGGCCCGCGCAGGCGGCGUGGAGGCGCGCGCCCGUGCCCACACCCGGCAUGGCGGCCGGCGGCUUCGGCAGCUCUCUCGUUCCGUUCGCUCGGGGCAGGUAGCGGGGUUCUCGGCUUCACAUUCUCGGCAUGGCUGCCAAGGGGGCUCGGCAGCGGCUGCGAGCUGGAGGUGGCGGGGAGGCGGCCCGACCGCGAUCGGAGGCCGCGGUCACGGAGGAAGCCCGCUUGGAAUCCUCUGGGAGCAAAGCAGGACAAGUUUGGGCUCCUGAAGGAUCAACGGCUUUUAAGUGUCUCAUUUCAGCCAGGUUCUGUGCGGCUCUCUUAAGCAACAUCUCUGACUGCGAUGAGACCUUUAACUAUUGGGAACCGACACACUACCUCGUUUAUGGAAAGGGGUUUCAGACAUGGGAGUACUCACCAGCCUAUGCCAUCCGCUCCUAUGCUUACCUGUGGCUUCAUGCAUUACCAGCCUUGUUCCAUGCUAGAGUUCUACAAACUAAUAAGGUUCUUGUCUUCUACUUUCUCCGAUGCUUCCUGGCCUUCCUGAGCUGUGUUUGUGAACUCUACUUUUACAAGGCUGUGUGCAAGAAGUUUGGGCUGCAUGUGAGCCGGCUGAUGUUGGCCUUCUUAGUACUCAGCACUGGGAUGUUUUGCUCAUCUGCAGCUUUUCUCCCCAGCAGUUUCUGCAUGUACACCACAGUGAUUGCCAUGACUGGCUGGUACAUGGACAAGACCUCUGUAGCUGUGCUGGGGGUGGCUGCUGGAGCCCUUCUGGGCUGGCCCUUCAGUGCAGCUCUUGGGCUUCCUAUUGCCUUUGACUUCUUGAUACUGAAGCAGAGGUGGAAAAGUUUCUUCAACUGGUGCGUGGUGUCAUUGAUCCUGUUUUUGGUGCCCUUGGUAGUUGUGGACAGCUAUUACUAUGGGAAGCUGGUAGUUGCACCUCUCAACAUUGUUUUAUACAAUGUCUUCACCUCUCACGGACCUGAUCUCUAUGGAACGGAACCCUGGUCCUUCUAUUUCAUCAAUGGCUUUCUGAAUUUCAACGUGGCAUUUAUUUUGGCGCUGCUUGUGCUGCCAUUGACUUGUCUCAUGGAGUGUUUGCUUCAGAAAUUUCAUGUUCAGAAUCUGGGCCGUCCCUACUGGCUGACACUAGCUCCUAUGUACAUUUGGAUCAUGAUUUUCUUCAGUCAGCCCCACAAAGAAGAGAGGUUUCUCUUUCCCAUCUAUCCCCUCAUCUGCCUCUGUAGUGCUGUUGCUCUCUCUGCUCUUCAGAAAUGUUACCACUUCAUAUUCCAGCGCUACCGCCUGGAACACUACACAGUCUCCUCCAACUGGUUGGCUCUGGGGACUGUCUUUCUCUUUGGCCUUUUGUCAUUGUCACGCUCUGUUGCCUUAUUCAGAGGCUACCAUGGGCCCCUGGAUCUCUACCCGGAAUUUCACAGGAUUGCUUCUGACCCAAGCAUUCACACUGUGCCAGAGGGGAGACCGGUUAAUGUCUGUGUGGGAAAGGAGUGGCACAGAUUUCCAAGCAGCUUUCUCCUGCCAGAUAAUUGGCAGCUCCAGUUUAUCCUCUCAGAAUUCAGAGGUCAGUUACCAAAACCAUUUGCCAAGGGACCAAUGGCCACACGGAUCAUUCCCACUGAUAUGAAUGACCAAAACAAGGAAGAGCCAUCUCGAUAUAUUGACAUUUCCAAAUGCCACUAUCUCGUGGACUUGGAUACAGCAGCUGAAACCCCAAGGGAGCCAAGGUACUCUGCCAACAAAGAGGACUGGGUAACCAUUGCCUACAAGCCAUUCCUAGAUGCUUCCAGGUCCUCAAAGCUGCUGCGUGCAUUCUACGUUCCUCUUCUCUCAGAACAGUACACAUGGUAUGCAAACUAUACUAUUCUGAAAGCCCGGAGGUUGAAGCAAACCAGGAAAAAAAUGGGAGGCUAGCAACACACCUGGGCAUCAAGAUCAAGGGCAUCUGCUGACACUCUUGGACAGCUGCCUAAGCCAUCUUCAGUCUCCUUUUUGAAAGACUGUGCUUAUAAGAUUCAUGAACAAAGAUUUCCCAUGAAGUGAUUUCACUCUGCAAGCUUCCAGCUGUAAAAAGGGUGCAUCAUCUGCUUUCAGUUCUCGGUGUCAGGUCUCUGCUCUGCCUACACGGAACAUAUUGGAACGGUCUCCCAUACCAUAAUCUAGUGUGCAGAUACACCACCUUUUGCUGUAUUGCAACAGAGAUUAUUCUAGAAUUUACUCAAGAUUUACUGCACCAAGAGCUUUGUUACCUUCGGACAUAAAGUAAGGGAUCCUGAACCUUCCUUCAAGAACUCGUUGCCUCAGUAUGGGGAGUGUUGGUCCAUCAAAAGAUUGAGAAAUGAACCAUGAGGAAUAUGAACCACUGGAAGAGACUGUUCUCAGGGACCUACACAGCACCAGGUAACUCCAAAAUCACAGAUCAACCAUUCUGUGGAAUUCAUCAUCUGUCUCCUUUACAUAGAAAAAGAAAACCAACAACCCAGCAGAAAUCACUACAAAAGUUUCUAGCAGUCACAACUGUCCUCCAGCUACUUUAUCACCAAAGCUGGGCAUAGAAAUUGCAUCAACCUGAGAGAGCUUGACAAAUGUACACGAAAGAAUCAGACCAUAUAAAUCAUUGCCAGUUAAUGUGAUCAUUUACAUACAGACCACCUGUAAUUAAUUUUCUGUAAUACAGAGGUAGAACACAAAAAAAAAACCAAGAGAAGGAAAGAGACUGUAGUAGCUGAUGGAAUCUAGUAACUAAGUUAUUAAUGGUUUUUGUCCCUGGAGAACCUGUGCAUUGAAAUUCCCUGCAAUGGAACAGUCCAUGUCUCUAACCUUUCUUUAGUUAAUGAAUCUCCUGAGAUGCCUCUGAAGUAGCGUUUUUGUGAGCUUGUGUCAUGCUUUCACUGCAGUGUUUAGGGAGGCAGGGAACCUGCAUCCCUGCAGUGCUAAAGACAUCCAUGAAAGGAAUACUUCUGAAUAAGGCCCUGCUCCAGUGCAGUUGAUACCUGAGGAGCUCUGAAAUCUAGCCAUGCUGAAUGUGACAAGCUACGGUGCAGGACACCUAUGUGGAGGAAGAGGAAUUAGAAGGGAUAGAAUGUGGUGGUAAAACUGGUGUGAAGAGUGGCAGAUCAGAAGGUGGGGAAAGAAUACAUAGAUGAAAAGUAGCACAAAAGUUCCCUUAUCUUUAGUUCAGUUACUCAUAGUAAGGGGGUCCAUGCAACUUGCAGCCCUUAGGCACGGUAUGUACUGAAGCCAUUGUUCUGGUAAAUGCAGUUGUAUGUCAGUCAUAAAUUGCAGGUGCUAUGACUGUCAGUAGGUGCUAGAAAUAAAUGCAAGUUUAUCAGAAAUGAGAAAGUAAAAAUACACUAUGAAUGGUAGUGCUGAUGAACUGGCUAUAUUAAAUCUCAACGAAGUACCUAAAUGCCCUAUUAGUUCUCCAAAUUCUGAGACAUCACCACCAAUUCAAUGUCUUUGUUAUGAGUUAUUAUACUUGGGUCGCUUUGUUUUGAAGUCCAGACAUCAUCUCCAUCCCAAACUGUUUCUUUAGCUUUCUUCAAAUAUCAGAAUGCCGUAAAUAAGAGCUUAUACCAGAACUGCAUUUUCCCACUACAACAGUUGCAAAACCCUUUUCCUCUGAUGAUAGCUUUUAGUAUUUUUACAAUUUAACAUUAAUACAAAAGCCUACAGCAGAGUAUAUAGAAAAUUAAAAGAUAACCAUAAAGAGUCUAAUAUCAAAUGAAAUGAAAAAGAGGCUACUGCAAAGGCUCUGCUAUUAAUUUAUAUAAAACAUUAAAUAAUAAUUUUUACAGCUUUUAUGAAGCUGUAAAAUUCCCACUCUGAGAUGCUAAAGAGCCAUGAAAUACAGAGAAUGUGCCAAAGAGCAGAUUAAUAGGCUUCCCUCUCUAGCUUUAGAGACUCUGUUUUCCACACUCUUCUCCCCCCA